GCAGGCGUAGCCAAGCGGUAAGGCAAGAGGCUGCAACCCUCUCAUGCGCAAGUUCAAAUCUUGCCGCCUGCUCCA
rnacentral:tRNA from 2 species